rnacentral:rRNA from 1 species
GUACGGGAGGCAGCAGUGGGGAAUAUUGCACAAUGGACGCAAGCCUGAUGCAGCAACGCCGCGUGAGUGAUGAAGGCCUUCGGGUUGUAAAACUCUGUCCUAUGGGAAGAAAUAAAUGACGGUACCAUGGGAGGAAGCCCCGGCUAACUACGUGCCAGCAGCCGCGGUAAUACGUAGGGGGCAAGCGUUAUCCGGAAUCACUGGGCGUAAAGGGUGCGUAGGUGGCUUAUCAAGCCAGAGGUGAAAGGCAGUGGCUCAACCAUUGUAAGCCUUUGGAACUGAUUAGCUUGAGUGCAGGAGAGGUAAGUGGAAUUCCUAGUGUAGAGGUGAAGUUCGUAGAUAUUAGGAGGAACACCAGUGGCGAAGGCGACUUACUGGACUGUAACUGACACUGAGGCACGAAAGCGUGGGUAGCGAACAGGAUUAGAAACCCGGGUAGUCCU